CCUUACUUAACUUUCUGUCAUUCCUGAGGAGGUCAGAGAUAAUUCCUGUCCCAUUCAUUGCAUGUUAUUAGUAUCAUCAUCAUCAUCAUCAUCAUCACCAUCAUCAUUUGGAAUCAGGCAUAAUAGACAGUAGACUCAUGUUUUGACACUUCAAAGAUUGUUUUGUGCCCUGGCAUCUCCAUGUGCAGCAGAGACCACACUUUGAGAAGCAGUCUUCAAGCCAAUAUUGUUUUUCACGUCUUUAAGCUGCCUAUGCCAAAUUACAACAUCAUAAAAACAUCUGCUCUUGAGAGAAGACCUCUUCCCACUGGACAUCUGGAGUCUCCCUGUUUUCUUCCUAGCAUAGCCAAC
rnacentral:lncRNA from 1 species